GGGGCGGCGGCAGCGGGGGCGGGCGGCCCUGCUACGGAGGCGCCAACUGCGGCUGCUGGGGCACCGGGGGGCGCUGCAGCCCGCCGCCCGACGACGUGGACCACCACCAGCACGCCCACAGCAGCUGGCACCACGAGUUGCAGGGUCGUCAUCCAGGAGUCAACUGCGUGGACUGGUCACCCAGCUUGAUGGAGUCGGUAUCUGACACAGGGAUCUGCUCCCUGGGAAGGGCACACGCUCCGCUCCGGGCGUGGUCGUCGUGCGCAUGGUCGGCAUCGCCCUGACGGAGCACAACCCGCGCUCAGGAAGCUUGUCGUGCGCGGGUUCUCAUACGUGACUGAUGCGAGUGUGCGCUACCUGGCCCUGGUGAACACACUGCGCCACCUGGACCUUGCGGGCUGCGGAGUGACACGCCGUGGUCUUGAGGCGUUUGCUGCUCUCCGCCCUGACGUCGAAGUUGUGGGACUGCAACGGAAGAGAACAGAAUGGGAGGAGUACAGGGACCGGAUCGAAGGGUCCCUGGCGGACAAGGCAGCCAGGGACGUGGUGAUGCCCGAGAGUUCUAGGAGUGCCGGCCACUCGAAGACAUCACAGAGGACGGGCUGAGAACCGGAACAGGAGCAGCAGGAGGCGGAAGGGCGCUGAUAUACUGUGCCGCUCCUGCUGCUUCUCAGAGGACUGCUUCGUUUGCUGUACACCAGUAUUACUUGCGGUGGACCACAUAGCGGCUGACUGGGCCAGAAUACUCCCAGAUGUGUGUAUUCAGUGCUUUUUCUCUUUUUUUCAAAUUAGUGCAGCACAUUUUCGCUUUAUAGCACUUUGUAUUUCGUGUGUAAAUCGUCAUCUCAAAGGACUGUCUGUCUGACAAACCUUUACAAGUUGGAUGUCAGCAGCACACUUGAAACUUGUGCCACAAAAAUAUUUAGUGAAGAACAAAUGGCUAGUUGUUUUAUGUUUACAUUAUACUAACAGAUGUUUUACAUACACAGUGUUAGAUGUUUUACAUACACAGUGUUAAAUGUUUUUUGUGCACACGCUUGUGUGUGUGUGUGUGUGUGUGUGUGUGUGUGUGUGUGUGUGUGUGUGCGUG